rnacentral:lncRNA from 1 species
AUGCGGAGCGGGCGGAUCUUGAGGGAGGAGGGGGCGGGGCCCGCGGGCCAGUGCGCGCGCACUUCCGGCGCCGUGUGUGGGGGUGUGUGCGUGUGUGUGCGCGCGCGCGCGGAGGAUGGAGGCGGCGCUGUCGGCCAUGUCUCUUCUCCUCAGCGACGCCCGGCCCGCCGCCGUCGCGCCCAUGGACGGGCCGCGGCCGAGCCCCGGAGACCCGGCGGGCGGGGAGCGCGGGGCGGCCGGGGCGGCCGGGGCGGCCGAGGCGGCCGAGGCCCUCGGGGAGGCGGCGGCCCAGGUGAGGCGGGGCCGGGGGAGGCGGGACCCGCUCACACCGGCGACACCCCCACCCCGGCCGCCCCCGCGCCCGCAGUAGCCCCAGCCCCUCCUUCCCUCCUCACAUUCCCCCCUCAAACCCCGAGCGGCGGGGCCCGGCCGAGCCCCAACCGCCCGGCCCCGCGACUCACGGGCACCCGGGUUCUAAUCCCAGCGCCGCCGCCCCUCUGCUCUUCGGUCACUCAUCCCUUCCGUCGUAUUCAUUCAUUCAUCCAUCCAUCCAUUCACCCCUUCCGUCGUAUUCAUUCAUUCAUUCACCCCUUCCGUCGUAUUCAUUCAUUCACCCCUUCCGUCGUGUUCAUUCAUUCAUCCACCCCUUCCGUCGUAUUCAUUCAUUCAUCCUUUCUGUCGUAUUCAUUCAUUCAUCUUUCCAUCGUAUUCAUUCACCCCUUCCAUCGUAUUCAUUCAUUCAUUCACCCCUUCCAUCGUAUUCAUUCACUCAUCCAUCCCUUCCAUUGUAUUCAUUCCUCCCUUGCAUCAUAUUUCUUCAAUCAUAUUUAUUUCCUCCUUUCUUCUAUCAUAUUUAUUUUUUCAUCCCUUCCAUCAUAUUUAUUCCUACAUUUCUUCCAUCAUAUUCAUUCCUUCCAUAGUAUUCAUUCAUUCAUUCCUUCCAUCGUAUUCAUUCCUGUAUUCCGUCCAUCAAAUUCAUUCCUUCAAUCGUAUUUAUUCCUUCCUUCAAUUGUAUUUAUUCCUUCAUUCCUUCCAUUGUAUUCAUUCAUCCCUUCUGUCAUAUUCAUCCAUUCCUUCCAUCCUAUUCAUUCAUUCAUUCAUUUAUUCCUUCUAUCAUAUUCAUUCAUUCAUCCCUUCCAUUGUAUUUAUUGA